rnacentral:rRNA from 1 species
GAUGAACGCUGGCGGCGUGCCUAAUACAUGCAAGUCGAGCGAACAGACGAGGAGCUUGCUCCUCUGACGUUAGCGGCGGACGGGUGAGUAACACGUGGAUAACCUACCUAUAAGACUGGGAUAACUUCGGGAAACCGGAGCUAAUACCGGAUAACAUGUUGAACCGCAUGGUUCAACAGUGCAAGACGGUCUUGCUGUCACUUAUAGAUGGAUCCGCGCCGCAUUAGCUAGUUGGGAAGGUAGUGGCUUACCAAGGCAACGAUGCGUAGCCGACCUGAGGGGGAGAUCGCCUACAUUGGCAGAGAGGAAGGGCCCCCACUCCGAGACGAGGACACAGCACAGACUCCUACGCGAGGCGGCAGUGGCGAAUGGUGCAACACGGGCGGAAGCAUGAUGCAGUAAGGCCGCGAGAGCGCUGAAGGUCGUAAGGAUGUAAAGCUCUUUUAACCGGGAAGAUAAUGACGGUACCGGGAGAAUAAGCCACGGCUAACUCCGUG